UUUCAUUUAUGCUCACUUUCCCCCAAAACCCCCAAAUCUCCAUCUCACUCUCAAACAUCAAAAACUUCACUCCAGUUCCUCGUUCACCAACUCCCACCAGUUCAUCGUUUACCUUCCCCUCUCGUUCACCAACUCAGUCCAGUUCCUCUUUCACUGGUUCUAAUUUCGAAAUCGAAAUCGUUCCCAAAUCGCAAAGAUCCGUAUCAGUGCUGCUUCCUCUCAAUCGUUAUGCCUUCUCACACUCGACGCUCGCUCUCACACUCGCAACCUAGCUCACACACUCGCAACCUAGCUCACACACUCGCUCUCGAUUCAGAUCCAAAACCUAACCUAGCUCUGAAUCGGUCCAAUCGGAACUCAACUCACUCAAUCUCAGAAUCUUCUCACUCACUCGCUCAAUCGGAACUCGAACGGUGCUCAAAAGAUUCACAACAGGUCUGAUCUAUUACAUGCAUAUUGUGUCGCUCUGCCAUCUGCUAUGUUUGGGCCUACUUCCUUUUAAGUCUGCUGCUGUUUAUCCAACAAAUUUAGAAACAACAAGAGAUGUAGACAUUCAUAUGAGUUUAGCUACCGCGUUGAGGAUCAUUGAAGCAACAUCAUUGGGGAAUAUUUAGAUAUUUUAUGGAUUUCUAAUUUUGGUACAGUUGUUUUGAAUGUUUAGUCACUAGUGUUUCGGUUUUUUGAAUGUUUAAACUAUACGUACUUUAUCGAAUGUUCAGCCGCUAGUGUUUCAGUUUUUAAAAUAUUUAAACUAGGUACUUUAUCUUUUGUUUUAGUUAAGUUGAUGUAUGGAUCAAACUUUUUACUCA